GACGAACGCUGGCGGCGUGCUUAACACAUGCAAGUCGAACGGAAAGGCCCUGCUUUUGUGGGGUGCUCGAGUGGCGAACGGGUGAGUAACACGUGAGUAACCUGCCCUUGACUUUGGGAUAACUUCAGGAAACUGGGGCUAAUACCGGAUAGGAGCUCCUGCUGCAUGGUGGGGGUUGGAAAGUUUCGGCGGUUGGGGAUGGACUCGCGGCUUAUCAGCUUGUUGGUGAGGUAGUGGCUUACCAAGGCUUUGACGGGUAGCCGGCCUGAGAGGGUGACCGGCCACAUUGGGACUGAGAGACGGCCCAGACUCCUACGGGAGGCAGCAGUGGGGAAUAUUGCACAAUGGGCGGAAGCCUGAUGCAGCAACGCCGCGUGCGGGAUGACGGCCUUCGGGUUGUAAACCGCUUUCGCCUGUGACGAAGCGUGAGUGACGGUAAUGGGUAAGGAAGCACCGGCUAACUACGUG
rnacentral:rRNA from 1 species